UCUCGUUGAUGAUCGGUGCUUGCACCGAGAUUCACAUGGAACGAGUGGCGGACGGGUGAGUAACACGUGGGUAACCUGCCCUUAAGUGGGGGAUAACAUUUGGAAACAGAUGCUAAUACCGCAUAGAUCCAAGAACCGCAUGGUUCUUGGCUGAAAGAUGGCGUAAGCUAUCGCUUUUGGAUGGACCCGCGGCGUAUUAGCUAGUUGGUGAGGUAAUGGCUCACCAAGGCGAUGAUACGUAGCCGAACUGAGAGGUUGAUCGGCCACAUUGGGACUGAGACACGGCCCAAACUCCUACGGGAGGCAGCAGUAGGGAAUCUUCCACAAUGGACGCAAGUCUGAUGGAGCAACGCCGCGUGAGUGAAGAAGGCUUUCGGGUCGUAAAACUCUGUUGUUGGAGAAGAAUGGUCGGCAGAGUAACUGUUGUCGGCGUGACGGUAUCCAACCAGAAAGCCACGGCUAACUACGUGCCAGCAGCCGCGGUAAUACGUAGGUGGCAAGCGUUAUCCGGAUUUAUUGGGCGUAAAGCGAGCGCAGGCGGUUUUUUAAGUCUGAUGUGAAAGCCCUCGGCUUAACCGAGGAAGCGCAUCGGAAACUGGGAAACUUGAGUGCAGAAGAGGACAGUGGAACUCCAUGUGUAGCGGUGAAAUGCGUAGAUAUAUGGAAGAACACCAGUGGCGAAGGCGGCUGUCUGGUCUGUAACUGACGCUGAGGCUCGAAAGCAUGGGUAGCGAACAGGAUUAGAUACCCUGGUAGUCCAUGCCGUAAACGAUGAAUGCU
rnacentral:rRNA from 2 species